GACGAACGCUGGCGGCGUGCUUAACACAUGCAAGUCGAACGGAAAGGCCCUGCUUUUGUGGGGUGCUCGAGUGGCGAACGGGUGUGUAACACGUGAGUAACCUGCCCUUGACUUUGGGAUAACUUCAGGAAACUGGGGCUAAUACCGGAUAGGAGCUCCUGCUGCAUGGUGGGGGUUGGAAAGUUUCGGCGGUUGGGGAUGGACUCGCGGCUUAUCAGCUUGUUGGUGGGGUAGUGGCUUACCAAGGCUUUGACGGGUAGCCGGCCUGAGAGGGUGACCGGCCACAUUGGGACUGAGAUACGGCCCAGACUCCUACGGGAGGCAGCAGUGGGGAAUAUUGCACAAUGGGCGGAAGCCUGAUGCAGCAACGCCGCGUGCGGGAUGACGGCCUUCGGGGUGUAAACCGCUUGCGCCUGUGACGAAGCGUGAGUGACGGUAAUGGGUAAAGAAGCACCGGCUAACUACGUG
rnacentral:rRNA from 1 species